UACAGAGGUCUCAAGCGUUGUUCGGAUUCAUUGGGCGUAAAGGGCGCGUAGGCUGCGGGGUAAGUCGGGUGUGAAAUCUCAGAGCUCAACUCUGAAACUGCACUCGAUACUGCUUUGCUUGAGGACUGGAGAGGAGAUUGGAAUUCACGGUGUAGCAGUGAAAUGCGUAGAUAUCGUGAGGAAGACCAGUGGCGAAGGCGGCACUCUGGGCCGGUACUGACGUGAGGAGCGAAAGCGUGGGGAGCAAACAGG
rnacentral:rRNA from 1 species